CGAGAUUGGCAUCGUGACUGGAGUUCAGACGUGUGCUCUUCCGAUCUGGACUACCUUGCCUCUGACGGGUAACGGGGGAUUGGGGUUCGAUUCCGGAGAGGGUGCCUGAGAGACGGCAACCAUGACUAUGGUCAGCAGCAGGCGCGCAAAUUGCCCAAUGCCAACAAAUGGCGAGGCAGCGACGAAAAAUAGCAGUCCCUUAGGGGAUUUGCAAUGGACUGUACCCAAACAAACUGAUGAUUAUCUAUUGGAGGGCAAGUCUGGUGCCAGCAGCCGCGGUAAUUCCAGCUCCAAGAGCGUAUAUAAAUGUUGUUGCGGUUAAAAAGCCCGUAGUUGGAUUUGAGGAUGCUUCUUGUAUUCGCAUCUGAGUGAAGGGGUUUCCUGGAUCGCAGAGGCGAGUACGCUACGGAGGUAUCCUGACAUAUGCGGGAUUGUCCACUGGCCGAAGCUUCCUUAACUGGUAGCUGAAGCAACUUCGGAGCUUCAAUACUCCAAAAGGUGCGCCCGCAGACGUCACUGUGAGUAAAACAGAGUGUUCAAGGCAGCCAAUUUGUUUGGUUGAAUGUUAAAGCAUGGAAUGACAAGGGAUCGACCACUGAAGCCGCUUUUUGUCUAUUACUUUAAGCCUCAGUGAGGAAACAUUGGUUGGAUGUCCGGGCUAACGCUCGGCGUCCAAUCGCCGGGAUCAAUAGGAGCACAGGGGGUCAUGAGUACUGGAGGGCUAGAGGUGAAAUUCCAAGACCCCUCCAAGACUGACAUCGGCGAAAGCACUCGACUAUUGUGCUUUCAUUAAUCAAGGACGAGAGAUAGGGGAUCGAAGAGGAUUAGACACCCUCGUAGUCCUUUCUGUAAAUUCUGCAGACUUGGGAUCGGCCAGCGUUCUACUUUUUGACCUGGUCGGCACCUUCCUCCGACAUCGAGAAAUCAAAGUCUUUGUGUUCCGGGGGGAGUACAUUCGCAAGGCUGAAACUUAAAGGAAUUGACGGAGAACCACCACCAGUCGUGGAGUGUGUGGCUUAAUUCGACCCAACACGGGAAAUUUUACCAGGCCAGGACGUGGCGAGGAUUGCCAGAUUGAAAGCUCUUGCAUGAUUCCGCGGAGGGUAGUGCAUGGCCGCUUCUGGUUGGUGAAGUGAUUUGUCUGCUUAAUUGCGAUAACGAACGAGAUCUCUGCCAAUUACUAGACAGUUCGUUCACGUUUCAGUCGGAAGUCUGUGCUUGGGUUCUCUCAAACGCAGACGCUCUGGCUGAGAACGAGCUGCUUACUUAUUGGGAUUAUGCAAUUUUCAACUGCAUUGAAACGAGAGCCCAAAGCAGGUCUGUGAUGCUCCUAAAUGUUCUGGGCUGCACGCGCACUACACUGAUUCAGCCAACGAGCAUCUGCCUUCACGGCAGCCUGGACCGAACGGUCUGGGGAAUCUUUUGAGCCUGAGUCGUGAUGGGGAUUGAUGAUUGCAAUUAUUCUCCAUGAACAAGGAAUGUCUUGUAGGCGCGUUUCAUCAGAACGCACCGAAUACGUCCCUGGUUCUUGUACACACCGCCCGUCGUUGCCUGUAAUGGGUUGUGAGUAGAGCCAUUUGGAGAGUUGCGGCGCGGGCGACCGUGUCGGUGACUUGAAAUUUGGCAAUACUUUCAAUCUAGAAGAUCGGAAGAGCGUCGUGUAGGGAAAGAGUGUAGAUCUCGGUG
rnacentral:rRNA from 1 species